AGAGUUUGAUCAUGGCUCAGAGCGAACGCUGGCGGCGUGCUUAACACAUGCAAGUCGUGCGGGAAAGGGGGUUUCGGCCCCUGAGUAGAGCGGCGCACGGGUGCGUAAGACGCGGGUGACCUAUCCGCGAGGCGGGGAUAACCCUUCGAAAGAGGGGCUAAUACCGGAUGCGCCCACGGGCAGAGAUGCCCGGGGACAAAGGGUGCUCCUUAAUAGGGGCACGCCCUCAUGGAGGGGCCCGCGGCCUAUCAGCUAGUUGGUAGGGUAACGGCCUACCAAGGCGAAGACGGGUAGCUGGUCUGAGAGGAUGGCCAGCCACACGGGGACUGAGACACGGCCCCGACUCCUACGGGAGGCAGCAGUGGGGAAUCUUGCGCAAUGGGCGAAAGCCUGACGCAGCAACGCCGCGUGUGUGAUGAAGGUCUUCGGAUCGUAAAGCACUGUCGGCAGGAACGAUGGUCAGUACGAAUAACAAGCGUAUUGAUUGACGGUACCUGCAAAGGAAGCACCGGCUAACUCUGUGCCAGCAGCCGCGGUAAUACAGAGGGUGCAAGCGUUGUUCGGAAUCAUUGGGCGUAAAGCGCACGUAGGCGGCUUUGCAAGUCGGGUGUGAAAGCCUGGGGCUCAACCCCAGAAGUGCAUUCGAAACUGCAGAGCUUGAGUCUUGGAGAGGGCAGUGGAAUUCCGAGUGUAGAGGUGA
rnacentral:rRNA from 1 species